AGCAGCCGCGGUAAUUCCAGCUCCAAUAGCGUAUAUUAAAGUUGUUGCAGUUAAAAAGCUCGUAGUUGAAUUUCGGGGUCAGUAGGUUGGUCAUGCCACUGGUAUGUACUGAUCUUACUGAUUCCUCCUUCCUGAUGAACCGUAAUGCCAUUAAUUUGGUGUUGCGGGGAAACUGGACUGUUACUUUGAAAAAAUUAGAGUGUUUAAAGCAGGCUAACGCUUGAAUACAUUAGCAUGGAAUAAUGAAAUAGGACGUUCGAUCCUAUUUUGUUGGUUUCUAGGAUUGACGUAAUGAUUAAUAGGGAUAGUUGGGGGCAUUAGUAUUCAAUUGUCAGAGGUGAAAUUCUUGGAUUUUAUUGAAGACUAACUACUGCGAAAGCAUUUGCCAAGGAUGUUUUCAUUAAUCAAGAACGAAAGUUAGGGGAUCGAAGACGAUCAGAUACCGUCGUAGUCUUAACCAUAAACUAUGCCGACUAGGGAUCGGGUGAUGUUAAUUUUUAAUGUACUCAUUCGGCGCCUU
rnacentral:rRNA from 1 species